rnacentral:rRNA from 1 species
GGUCCCACCUGACCCCAUGCCGAACUCAGCAGUGAAACGCCGUAGCGCCGAUGGUAGUGUGGGGUCUCCCCAUGUGAGAGUAGGACACUGCCA